GCGGACGUGGCGGAAUUGGCAGACGCGCGGGACUUAGGAUCCCGUACUUCACGGUGUGGGGGUUCGAGUCCCCCCGUCCGCA
rnacentral:tRNA from 1 species